UUGCUUUGGCAGCAUCUAUACUAAAAUUGGAAUAAUAUAGAAAAUAUUAGCAGGCCCCCUACACAAGGAUGACACACAAAUUCAUGAAGCAUUCCCAUUAAAA
ensembl:snRNA U6 U6 spliceosomal RNA